UAGUGUAGUGGUUAGCACGUCUGCUUUACAUGCAGAAGGUCCUGGGUUCAUGCCCCAG
rnacentral:tRNA from 1 species